GACGAACGCUGGCGGCGUGCCUAAUACAUGCAAGUAGAACGCUGAAGGAGGAGCUUGCUCUUCUGGAUGAGUUGCGAACGGGUGAGUAACGCGUAGGUAACCUGCCUGGUAGCGGGGGAUAACUAUUGGAAACGAUAGCUAAUACCGCAUAAGAGUAGAUGUUGCAUGACAUUUACUUAAAAGGUGCAAUUGCAUCACUACCAGAUGGACCUGCGUUGUAUUAGCUAGUUGGUGGGGUAACGGCUUACCAAGGCGACGAUACAUAGCCGACCUGAGAGGGGGAUCGGCCACACUGGGACUGAGACACGGCCCAGACGCCUACGGGAGGCAGCAGUAGGGAAUCUUCGGCAAUGGACGGAAGUCUGACCGAGCAACGCCGCGUGAGUGAAGAAGGUUUUCGGAUCGUAAAGCUCUGUUGUAAGAGAAGAACGAGUGUGAGAGUGGAAAGUUCACACUGUGACGGUAUCUUACCAGAAAGGGACGGCUAACUACGUG
rnacentral:rRNA from 1 species